rnacentral:snRNA from 1 species
GUGCUUGCUUCGGCAGCACAUAUACUAAAAUUGGAACGAUACAGAGAAGAUGGGCAUGGCCCCUGCGCAAGGAUGACACACAAAUUUGUGAAGCGUUGCAUAUUUUU